rnacentral:rRNA from 1 species
UACGGGGGGGGUAAGCGUUGUUCGGAAUUACUGGGCGUAAAGGGCUCGUAGGCGGCCAACUAAGUCAGACGUGAAAUCCCUCAGCUUAACUGGGGAACUGCGUGUGAUACUGGAUGGCUUGGAUUUGGGAGAGGGAUGCGGAAUUCCAGGUGUAGCGGUGAAAUGCGUAGAUAUCUGGAGGAACACCGGUGGCGAAGGCGGCAUCCUGGACCGAGAUUGACGCUGAGGCGCGAAAGCCAGGGGAGCAAACGGG